rnacentral:rRNA from 1 species
UACGGGGGGGGGCAAGCGUUGUUCGGAAUUACUGGGCGUAAAGGGCUCGUAGGCGGCCAACUAAGUCAGACGUGAAAUCCCUCGGCUUAACCGGGGAACUGCGUCUGAUACUGGAUGGCUAGAGGUUGGGAGAGGGAUGCGGAAUUCCAGGUGUAGCGGUGAAAUGCGUAGAUAUCUGGAGGAACACCGGUGGCGAAGGCGGCAUCCUGGACCGGCAUUGACGCUGAGGCGCGAAAGCCAGGGGAGCAAACGGG